UUCAGUGCUCUGCCCUUUCAGUGCACAAACAUUGAAGUAUAUGUGAAGGUUUCUACACACAUCAGACCUGAACAUGACUCUAGAUACUCCCUCUUUAAGAUUCUAAGGCAGACUUUUUAGGGAAGGUGGGCAAGCUGACUCUUAUGUGUGUAAUCAUGAAGAUAUUUUUAUCUUCCUCUUCUGUCUCAGCCCAGGAGUUAAAGUCACUGUUUGAAAAAAAAUCCCUCAAAGUAAAGCCUCCAAGUUCUGGAAAGCAGUCCAUAUUAUCUGUACGCCUGGAGCAGUGCCCUCUGCAGCUGAAUAACCCCUUUAAUGAGUAUUCCAAAUUUGAUGGCAAGAUGCCCUAGCCAACAACUUAGCUGGGUAGAAGGAAAAGAUGCUUUUUGUCCCCUACAAGCUCCAGUUCUCAUGCAGAAUGAAAUUAUGAUAGUGUGUCUUCUUCCUGAGGAUUAAAAGAGAUGAGGCUUGUUUAGCAGGACAUGUACGUAGCACAUAGGAAGCACUCAACAAAUACCCUACUUCUGCUUUGUCUCUUUCUGAAGGGAGAGGGAACAUAGUGACAAUUUCUCCUCUGUGUGAUCUAUUAGGUUGUUGACAGGAUUGAGACAGAGGAACUUGGAUUUUAGAAUAGCAUCCCUAAACAAGAUAUACUGCAGACUCAGUGAAAGUGGGCUGUCUGCAAAAAGCAUAGGAAGAUUAACAGGAAAUAUAUAGGAAGCAUUGUUCCAGUGUAUGUCUGGAUAAUUAUGAACAAAUGUUUUCUACAAUCAUUGCCUUAAAUAGCUCUCUUCAAAGAAAGUCACUUGAAACUUUGCAGAAAAGCAUGAAGCCAUGAAGAAAUGUUGCAAACUUAGAAAAGGUCAGCAAAUUAAAAUUAUGUUUAAAAAAAUGCCCUCUGAGAACAGUGCUCCUCAUCCAAACUUGGAAAAUUUGCUGUUAUCAUGGGAAUGGUCCCUUCUAAUAUGUUAAGCUUCUUUAGCUUAGAAAUGCUUUCCAAAAAUUUAUACCCUGGGCUUUUUAAUGUUGGCUGUGUUUCCUUCCCUCCAACAUUUUGUUUAUUGCUGCCUGAGCUGAGGCAGUGGCCUUGAGCCUAAGGGCCUUCUGACUUUCCUUCUCCUCUCCCUCCACCUGCCCAAGUAGUCCUACUCUCCCUCUCCCACCCCCAAAGAAGGUGGCUGAGAAUGAAGUUGGCUGCCUAAUAGUGUCUGUGUGUGUGUCUGUCUCUCUGUCUCUCUC